AAAUCACGCCAUUGCACUCCAGCCUGGAGAGGGAGCGAGACUGUCUCAAAAACAAACAAACAAACAAACAAAAAACCAAAACACCUGUCGUCAUGUAUCGUGCUUAUCAAUUCUAAGAUGCAUGCUGCUUCUCCUCCCGACAUCUCUGUUAGGUUCCGUCUUCCUCUUAGGUUCCAUUUUACUCUUGAAGGGACCUCACGGUUUAGUUGCCAGCAUUUUUUUCUUCCCUGUUAGUGCAUAAAACAAUGGUACAGCUUAUAGUUUACAGCAUCUGAGAGGAGGUUGGAUGUCAAACAAAAUCAGGAAGCGAGGGAGAAGACCAUCAUUGUGGGCUGUGCUGAUAGAAACGCCGUCAGACCUGCCCGAGAUGCGGUGGUUCAGCCCAUGCCAGGGAGAAGAUGCCGCGUGGCCACGGAGGCAGAGAUGGCGGAGAGGCAGCUGCAGCUGGGAAAGGGUUGCGGGAGCAAGUCUCGUCUCAAGACCGUCUGCUCCCCGAGGCUCCGUGGAGGAAGCGUGGCCCUGCUGGCGCCUUGGUUUUGGAGUUCGGGCCUCCAGGACUGUGAGGACGUGCGUUUCAGUUGUGUUGAGCCUCCCAUUCGUGGUUGGUUGUUACAGUGGCCCUGGGAAGCAAAUUCGCUUGCUAAGUGCAAAAUCUGAUGCAGACCCCGUGGGAGCACGGAGAGGCUCAACCCGUCUGCCUGCCAGCUUUGACCCUGCAUGUACUCACGUGUGCCCAGCACACGUGUUCCUGGGACCUGUGCCUCCCAGUCCCUCCUACAGGGCCUACCCGUAAGGCCCUCUGUUGAGACCCAUAGGAUCCAGCAUCGCCUUCCUAAGGGUUCUCUAUCUCCACAGUGCCCCCAGAGCCCCUGUUGCUUAGUGGUUCAGUAGAACCAUUGAGUAACACGGCUUUCCUUCUUAUGCAUAGCGCUCUGCCCAGGAGACUGGCCCUUCCAGGACAGAAGGCCCAUCUUCCCAAUGUUUUGGGGAGUUAGGGGAGGAGCUCAGGGUGGGGAUAGGAAUCCAUCCAGGGCUUUCAUCAUAGAAGGUGGGUGGGGUCUGCCCAGGUGCUGACCACACUGCGGGGGGCCCACCCUUUCUUUCCCAGCAGCUCUCUGGGUCCCGGCAAGGAAAGGAGGGCUUGCUUCAGUGGGUGGUUGAGGAGGAUUGAACAAAGCAGGUUUAUUAUAUUAAAAAAAAAAAGGUGGGAGGGACUAAGGGAUGCCAGCACAGGAAGAAGAAGCAUCCAGGAGCUGUUCCCACCCCAGGCCAGAUGUGGAGGGAGCUGUAGCCGUCACUCUGUGCUCAGCUCGAGCUGCCGUGGUCAGAGCAGGACCACCGGAAAGGAGUGCUGGCUUCCUGGAAAGGAGCACCUCCACGGCUGCCUCGGCCAGGGAGGGAACUGGACACUAGCCUCAUGUUUCUCCAACCUCCAGCUGCCCCUCCCAGCUUCUGCUGUGACUGAAUCCACCUGGAGGCCAGAGGAUAGGGAAGCCCAUGGAUGCCGGCCAUAGAGGCCAGGGCCUUGGGGCACAGAGCCAGCGGAGUGCAGGAUCUCGUAAGGAGGCCACUUGCAUUCAGAAUCUGUCAAAGGACCAUUUUCAAAGCAGAGCUUAAAGCGGCAUCACUAGCACGUCUCACACAACACAGAAGUCCUGGGGUCGAGGCCUGGGCGCAGUCUCUGCUCUCCGUGAAUUCAGUCAACGAGGCUUUGCCUGUCCUUGCCGGUGCCCUGGGGAGAUGCAGCGGAACGGGCUGCCUCUCCUCGUUCUGUGGGAGCUCACAACCGUGUUUGGCACACGCAGGUCAGCCAGGGUGAAGGGUGAAGUGUGAGCAGGAGGAGGAACAAGCCGAGGGCUGCAAGAGGAAGAAGAGGGCGGUCACUGAAAGGGCCACGGAGCUGUGCCCCAAGGUCCUGUUGGUUCUGAGUUCAGGCACUGCUGGCAGCCAGGAGGGCUCACAGCCCUGGGGCACAGGGGCGAGGUAGUGAUGCAACUGCCUGGCAGGUGCCUUGGGUGGAGACGAGUGCCCCCAUCUCAGUCAUCAUGACUUCUUUAUUCAUGAGCUCCAAAUAUUAUUUUCCUGGCCAACCACAACUCCUGGUCAGGCUGGGGGUGGUCAACUUUCUUUUGCCUCAUUUAAACGCACAGUGCUGCUCCUCAAGUCAACAACCUCUCUUCAGACUCUGCAGUGAGUUUAAGGGGCAUGUAUGCAUGUGUGUGCGUAAGUGUAUGCAUGUUUAUGCCUGUGCUCACACGUGUGUGCCUGUUUAUGGGUGUGUGCAUGCACAUGUGGGUGUGUGCAUGUGUGUCUAUAUGUGUAUAUACAUGUGGGGGUGUGUGCAUGUAAUGCUUGUAUAUACCUAUGUGUGCACACAUGGCGUGUGUGUGUGCAUGUGUGAAUGGAUGUGUCCUGGACCGAGACAAUGAUCGUGCUUAAGUAGUUGUACCUGAGCACAGAGUGACUAGAAUUGGGAAAUUUCUACGAUCCCAAUUGUAUUCUGACUUAUGAUCCUAACACUAACUCCCAUCCAGGGAAGCUGAGAAGGAAACUCUGAAGUCAGUUGCAUAUCUAACCUCCCCCUACCCUGUGCCCCCACACCACUGCUGCAUUCAAAGCUGCCUCACCAUCUUCCCAGCCCACAUGGCCUUCCUGGUUCUUACCUGUGAACCUGCUGUUUCUCUCUGCUCGAAAAGCCUCCAGAGUCACACAGAAUGCAUCUUUCUUCAUGCAGCGCGAGGUUCUUGAAUAGCCAAAAUGCCCAAGCAUGAUGCAAAGCCCUUUUAAGAGUUAUUUAUCAUUAAACCUCACAUUGAUCUUAAGAAACAGGAAGAUACGGUUGAGGGUACAGGCUCAGAAAGGUUAAGUGAUUUGCCCAAGGCCACAUGAAGGACCUGAAUCAAGGUUUUCUGGCUCCAAAUUCAGAGCGUUCUGUUAUACUCUCCUAGUUUUAUUGAUCAUGGUACUGCGCAAGACUUUUCAGGAGAGUUUGGUCAUCUCCCAUGAUGCCAACUCCAGAAGAUUAGGAGUGGGCCCCUGUGCGAACAGGAGGUUGUUCUGGGGUCCAUGAGAGGCGGCGGUCACACUUCCUAACACGUUCAGCUGACGCUGGUGCAAAUAGGACAAAGGAGGGGCUCUCACCCCAAACAUUCCAGUCAGGGGGACGGAACUUGGUGUAAGUGAGGGG
rnacentral:lncRNA from 1 species